AAAUGUGCAUUACGUAGUUUUGAACUUUUUUUCAUCAAAAUAUUUUUAAAACUUUGCUGAUUAAAAAUAUUACGAGUUAGAUUUCCAUGCAGUAACGAUUCCACUUUGCUAUGCAAAUACAAUAAGGAAAAUCUUGUAUCUGUGAUUAAUUGCUCGCAAUAAGACAAUAUUGUUUUAGAUAAAUUAAUUUUGCUGCAAUGUCACGCAUAAUUGAUGAUUCCAAUGUUACUAAUCGAUUAUUCGACUUAUCAAUUUGUUUUUUAUAUUGUUGUCCCUUAACUGUGUUUAGUAAGGAAUUUAUUAUAGU
rnacentral:lncRNA from 1 species